GACGAACGCUGGCGGCGUGCUUAACACAUGCAAGUCGAACGGUAAGGCCCUUCGGGGUACACGAGUGGCGAACGGGUGAGUAACACGUGGGUGAUCUGCCCUGCACUUCGGGAUAAGCCUGGGAAACUGGGUCUAAUACCGGAUAGGACUCCGGACUGCAUGGUCUGGGGUGGAAAGCUUUUGCGGUGUGGGAUGGGCCCGCGGCCUAUCAGCUUGUUGGUGGGGUGAUGGCCUACCAAGGCGACGACGGGUAGCCGGCCUGAGGGGGUGACCGGCCACACUGGGACUGAGAUACGGCCCAGACUCCUACGGGAGGCAGCAGUGGGGAAUAUUGCACAAUGGGCGCAAGCCUAAUGCAGCGACGCCGCGUGAGGGAUGACGGCCUUCGGGUUGUAAACCUCUUUCAGCAUCGACGAAGCGAAAGUGACGGUAGGUGCAGAAGAAGGACCGGCCAACUACGUGCCAGCAGCCGCCGCAG
rnacentral:rRNA from 1 species